GGCGGCUUCUUGACAGUGGAAUCCAAUGGGCAGAACAUUGGUAGUGCUCGAGAGGAUGACCCUAUUUUUUUAGUGGAGGGGUUAUUUAAUGACCAGAAUUAUGCUGGUCUGCAGGAUCACCCUUCUGUUUCUAAUGGUAUUGUGAGAAAUGAUGGGUUUGCUGUUCAGCCCCCUAGUUCACCUUGCCAAAACGAUGGAUUUCUGGAGCUGAAUGAUAUUGUGGACAGUGUCAAUAUGAAUUAUCCUUCCAGUGAGGAAUCUGUUGAUUGCUUUUUGGGGGAUACAACGCCUCUUGAUAUUGGGGAGUUAUUUGACUCAAAUGAAAAUACUGAGACUCCGGCAACAUACGAAAUGUGUCCAUUUCAGGAUGACUUCUAUCUUGAACCAAAGGAUCUGGACCUCGGUGAUUUUGCUUAUCCUUCUGAUCAGACAGGCGAAGAUAAUAUCAUAUUUCAUGAUGCAU
rnacentral:misc_RNA from 1 species